UACGUAGGGGGCAAGCGUUGUCCGGAUUUAUUGGGCGUAAAGAGCGUGUAGGCGGCCAGGUAGGUCUGCUGUGAAAACUCGAGGCUUAACCUCGAGAUGUCGGCGGAAACCAUCUGGCUAGAGUCCGGAAGAGGAGAGUGGAAUUCCUGGUGUAGCGGUGAAAUGCGUAGAUAUCUGGAGGAACACCGGUGGCGAAGGCGACAUCCUGGACCGGUAUUGACGCUGAGGCGCGAAAGCCAGGGGAGCAAACGGG
rnacentral:rRNA from 1 species